CUGGGGUCGACAACAGAUCAGAGCACGGGAGUAGAGCGCUUCUGGGAGGGUGGGGUCACCCGUGAGUCACGUCCUGCACCCUGGAGCCCAGAGGACCCUUCGCUCAAACCCACCACCAGCUGGCAACACCGGACCAGCCAGAGCCGCUUUCUUCGCUGCGCAGAGGAGCCUGGGAGAAGCCAGAGGUGUAAGUCAAGCUGUGGAGGGACUGGGUGUGGCUGACCCCCGUGACAAGUGGGAGGAGCCAGGGAUGCUUGGGAGAGGAGGCACUGUGCGCGAGAGAGGAGGGAAGGGGGAAGCGUUCGUGCCUCUCUGCCCCCUGUCCCCCUCUUGCUGCAUAGUAGCCACAUCCAUGUCUCUUGUACCCUGCAAUCUGGAGGCCCCUGCCAGAAGCGGGAAAUCCCAAGUACAGCAGCAAAAGGUAUGAGGAUUGGCACAAAGUUGUGGCCAAUGGAGGCUCCCCAAAGUGCAUGGAAGGUGGUGGUCCAGUGUCUAAAGGCAGGAGUGCUGGGGCAACCCCAUAGCUGGGGGUCCUAUGGGAGAGACUGAGGAACUUCGGUUUGUGGACUCUCAGUCAACUGUGUUACUGAGGAGGGGAAAGGGAAGUAGAUGAGUUGGUGGUUUGAACAAGACCCAAAUCUUGCUUCUACUUAUAGGUGCUCACAAUGGCCAGUGCCCUGGAAAAGCUCUGGAAUAAAUACACCUGGGCCUUAGAAAGCAGAGGCAGGAGACAAUGCCAUCCAGUGGGAGCUUUCAUUUGUUUCCUCAGCCAGCCUCUGUGUCAGGCUUUUUGGGAACAAGGGCUGGAUGAACAAGACCUUGGGAGUUCUUGUGGGGAGGGACUGGGGGUGAAUGGGCAGUGUGGCUGGCCCGGUGAUCACUUCUCCUCUGCUUGUCUAGGCUUGAGGAUGGAUUCUUGGCUCCUGGUGCAUUGCCACUCCCUGCCACCCUCCUCCUUGUCUUCUGUCUUCUCCUGGUGGCUUCAGGCCUUGCUUCAUGUCCCAAAAGGAGCCUCUGGGGCUGGCACAGCCCUCACUGCCUACAACCUGGGCCUGGUGGUUCUCCUAGGGUGCCUCUGGGAGGUGAGGAAUUGGCGUCGGCACUUUAUGAGGAUCGGCUCAUCUAAUCCUCAUGAUAGCACUGUUUGAGGCACAGAGGAGUUAAGUAACUUAGCAGGUGGCAAGGCACAGAGGCAGAGUGCAAACCAGGCACCCUGACUGAACAGCUUGCAGCCUCCUCCUCCAUCUCUUCCGCCUGUUGGUCAUGGCCACCCCGCUGCUGGCUAACUGCAGCUACUUCUGCCAGCCAGUGGACUACAGAUGGAGCAAGCAUGGAAUGAGGGCAUCUUCCUGGAGACAGGAAGGUAGGCAUUGUGGAAUCAGCGGUGCGUAGAACAGUGAGGAUUUGGGGCUGAACCCAGCCCAGGUGGGACAAGCCGUGGCACCAGCCGGACUGCAGUCUGAUGGAACUUCCCCUUCCUGCCCAGCAGAUGGCGAGCGUGUGCUGCUGGUGCCUCUUUCCAAAGGACGUUGAAUUGCUUGACAGGUGUUCUUUACUUUAUGAAUGAAGCCGGAGCAGCCCACCUUCCUGCAUCUCUACCACCAUGGCACCAUGCCCUGUGAUGGGUGGGCUGGAGUCAAAUACGUAGCAGGCAGCCAGGGUCAGUUUGUGGCCACUGCUGCCCCCUCUUCCUACAGUCUCCUCACUGAGUGCCCCUUCCCUGUUGGGUUCAACACAUCUGUGCUCCUGUAAGCCCUCAGCCUCCUGGUUCUCUUCCUCAACUUCUACCACCAGACACAUCUGAGAAGCAAGCAAGAGAGGCUGAACUAGGAGCAGGACCCAGGGACUGAAACCAUCACAGCAUCCCCACAGAGAAUUGGGUGGAAGGCAGCGUGGCUUCCAGCUUACUGGUGCUGAGCAGAUUUCUCUGGGUCUCCACUGUAUCCUCUGAAGGAAGGAGGAGGAUUGCCUUCUGUCCAGAUCUCAGGAUCAAACAAAUAGGUCCAACUUCCUGUGCUCACUUCAGUUAGAGCACUUCUCAUGUGACUUUGUAGCUUUGUGUGCAUCUCCUUCCUCUACUAGACCUAAGCCCCUCACGGGAGGGACUCUCUUAUUCUUGAUGUUCCCCACACCUGGAAUUUCAAUAAACAUCUCAAUAAACGUGUGUGUUUGGAUCCUUGGAUCCCAUGACUGCUGUCAUAACCUUGGUGAAGAAGAGGGCUGGGAGUAGGAAAGAGGUCAAGGUUGGCUUGAUCUCUAACCCUAUAGUGGGAAAUUGUGACGGAGAAUAUUCAAGAGUCGGUGUGGGUCUGUUUGAUUUCAGGUGUAGCUGUGUAAAUAGUUAGCCCUGCAUAUAUUUUUGUCUACUCACAACUGCCUGCAUGUGUAUUCAUACAGUUGUGUGAUUCUGUGUAUGUGCAUGGGGAGUGGGAGAG
rnacentral:lncRNA from 1 species